rnacentral:rRNA from 1 species
AUGUUUGGAGGGCCACUGCACGUGUGGAACAAAUAUGCGAUCCAAGUCCUCGUACUACUCAGCUUCGGUCUGCAAAUCAUUCUCCUUAUCCUUGCCUCUACCCGCCGGCGCAGAUCCUCCACCUUGCCGCGGAUCUGCCUGAGGGUGCUCCUUUGGCUCGCCUAUCUCAUGGCCGACUCCACCGCUAUAUACACUCUUGGCCACCUUUCCAUCAAUGGUUGGUUGCCCGAACACGAGCUGGUGGCAUUCUGGGCGCCCUUUCUCCUCUUACAUCUUGGUAGCCAGGACAACAUCACCGCCUACGCCCUCGAGGACAACCAGCUCUGGCCACGCCACCUGCUAACCCUUGGUGUCCAAACCGUUGGAGUUUGUUAUGUGAUGUAUAAACAUAUGACCCACGAAUCAGCCAUGGUGGUAGCAGCCAGCUUGAUGUUCAUGGUUGGUUUCCUCAAGUACUUGGAGAGGACAUGGGCCCUCAAGCGUGCCACCCUUGACAAUAUCCGAAGCUCGAUCAAGGCUCGACCCUCUAGGGAUGCGCCGGUAGGGUCAAAGAAAAAUCAUACACGAGACCCGGAUGAAGAAGAGCUUCUGUUAUUUGCUCACCAUGUGCUCCCAACUUGCAUGGCUGCACUGACUGAUUAUUCUGAGGAUUCGGGUAAAGUUUCCCGACAUUGGAAAGGGGGGCAUAUUGGCAAGGUAGUCGAGAUGGAGCUCUCCCUCAUGUAUGACAUCCUCUACACCAAGGCAACGAUGAUCCACUGUUGGUAUGGCUACUUUCUCCGUGUCAUCUCACUGAUCUCCACUCUUGCUGCAUUACGGUUGUUUCAUUUCUAUGGUAAACAUGGUCAUGCCAAAAUUGAUGUUAUUAUCACCUACAUCUUGUUUGGUGGUGCACUGUUUCUGGACACGGUGUCGUUAGUCAAGGCUGCAAUGUCAACCUGGACAUGUGAUUUGUUGGACAAUAAAGGAGGAUGGGGUAAGACGCUUUCUAAUGUAAUUCAGUCUUCCCGUCGCCUUGUGAAGGCGGCAUCCAGUAGAGGGUGGUCAGGAUCCGUUGGGCAGUAUAAUUUGUUUCACGUGUGCUCUCGUGACACGACCAAGACAAGCAUCAGAGUAUUACGGAUGAUGAAGCUCGAUGAUUGGUGGAAGAAAUAUCAGCACAAGGGGACCUUAGUGAUUCAAAGGGAUGUCAGGGAGUUGUUGUAUGAAGCGAUAUGGUGCACGAUAAAGAAUAAUGAUGAUCUCUCCGGGCUGUUCGACAUGAAAUUGCCGGAAGGUAAUAUCGAGCUUCAGGAUGUGAUCUUUGUCUGGCACAUCACCACCAAUAUCGUCCUCUCGUAUCCCGAAGCAAACGCAGUACAAUCCCCGUGUGUGGGGGCGAUCAAGGCCCUCUCGAACUACAUGAUGUAUCUGGCGGUGGCACGCCACGACAUGCUACCAGCCCUUAAGGUCCGCAGCAUGUGCGAGCAAACCAGCGAUGCUCUGCAGGACAUAUGGAGUGAAGCGACUUCGUGCCAAAGGACGGCAGGUUUUGGCCCCAUACUGCGUGCCCUGGAUAUAAGGAGGCCGUCUUGGUACCACGACUCCGACCGCCCGUAUACUACGGUCAUCUAUGGAACCCUGUUUGCCAAGGAACUGCUACCUGAGGCAGUGGAACAUUCCGCUUCCGCCAAUGAACUCCAUAGAAGCGCACACUCGGAAGAUCGCAUGGAUAAGCGUUGUCGUAACAUUCUUUGGCGCAUAGUGCCCGAGGCAUACACAACUGGUAAUCUGUCUGUGGAAGUGCUUCUGAAGCUCAUCUUGGACGCAUGGGUGCGUAUGCUGGUCGCUGCGUCAAUCAGAUGCAGCAGGGAGUCCCAUGCCAAGCAGCUCAGCCGUGGCGGUGAGCUCAUAACCAUCGCGUGGAUCCUGACGGAGCACUUCCAUAGGCCUGCUCGUCGGUGA